AACGCACCUUGCGCCCCUUGGUAUUCCUUGGAGCAUGCCUGUUUGAGUAUCAUGAAAUUCUCAAAGCAAGCCUUUUGUUAAUUCAAUCGGUCUUCUUGCUUUGGACUUGGAGGCUUGCAGAUUUCACACUCUGCUCCUCUUAAAUUCAUUAGCUGGAUCUCGGUGUAUGCUCGGUUCCACUCGGCGUGAUAAGUAAAUCACUCGUCGAGGACACUGUUAAAAAGGUGGCCGGGAAAUGCAGACGAACCGCUUCCAAUGGUCUAUUGAAUUAGACAAUACUCUUAAGAUCUCUGAUCUCAAAUCAGGCAGGACUACCCGCUGAACUUAA
rnacentral:misc_RNA from 1 species